UACGGAGGGUGCGAGCGUUAAUCGGAAUUACUGGGCGUAAAGCGCACGCAGGCGGUUUGUUAAGCUAGAUGNGAAAGCCCCGGGCUCAACCUGGGAUGGUCAUUUAGAACUGGCAGACUAGAGUCUUGGAGAGGGGAGUGGAAUUCCAGGUGUAGCGGUGAAAUGCGUAGAUAUCUGGAGGAACAUCAGUGGCGAAGGCGACUCCCUGGCCAAAGACUGACGCUCAUGUGCGAAAGUGUGGGUAGCGAACAGG
rnacentral:rRNA from 1 species